UACGAAGGGGGCUAGCGUUGCUCGGAAUCACUGGGCGUAAAGGGUGCGUAGGCGGGUCUUUAAGUCAGGGGUGAAAUCCUGGAGCUCAACUCCUGAACUGCCUUUGAUACUGAAGAUCUUGAGUUCGGGAGAGGUGAGUGGAACUGCGAGUGUAGAGGUGAAAUUCGUAGAUAUUCGCAAGAACACCAGUGGCGAAGGCGGCUCACUGGCCCGAUACUGACGCUGAGGCACGAAAGCGUGGGGAGCAAACAGG
rnacentral:rRNA from 1 species